GGGCGAAAGCCUGACGGAGCAAUACCGCGUGAGGGAAAAAGGCCUUCGGGUUGUAAACCUCUUUUAUCAAGGAGGAAAUUUUGACGUGUACUUGAUGAAUAAGCAUCGGCUAACUCCGUGCCAGCAGCCGCGGUAAUACGGAGGAGGCAAGCGUUAUCCGGAAUUAUUGGGCGUAAAGCGUCCGCAGGUGGCGAUUCAAGUCUGCUGUCAAAGCACGGGGCUUAACUCCGUUAAGGCAGUGGAAACUGAAUAGCUAGAGUGCCGUAGGGGUAGAGGGAAUUCCCGGUGUAGCGGUGAAAUGCGUAGAGAUCGGGAAGACCACCGAUGGCGAAGGCACUUUACUAGGACAUUACUGACACUGAGAGACGAAAGCUAGGGGAGCAAAUGGGAUUAGAUACCCCAGUAGUC
rnacentral:rRNA from 1 species